rnacentral:rRNA from 1 species
GAUGAACGCUGGCGGCGUGCCUAAUGCAUGCAAGUCGAGCGAACGGACGAGAAGCUUGCUUCUCUGAUGUUAGCGGCGGACGGGUGAGUAACACGUGGAUAACCUACCUAUAAGACUGGGAUAACUUCGGGAAACCGGAGCUAAUACCGGAUGAUAUUUUGAACCGCAUGGUUCAAAAGUGAAAGACGGUCUUGCUGUCACUUAUAGAUGGAUCCGCGCUGCAUUAGCUAGUUGGUAAGGUAACGGCUACCAAGGCAACGAUGCAUAGCCGACCUGAGAGGGUGAUCGGCCACACUGGAACUGAGACACGGUCCAGACUCCUACGGGAGGCAGCAGUAGGGAAUCUUCCGCAAUGGGCGAAAGCCUGACGGAGCAACGCCGCGUGAGUGAUGAAGGUCUUCGGAUCGUAAAACUCUGUUAUUAGGGAAGAACAUAUGUGUAAGUAACUGUGCACAUCUUGACGGUACCUAAUCAGAAAGCCACGGCUAACUACGUG